rnacentral:rRNA from 1 species
GACGAACGCUGGCGGCGUGCCUAAUACAUGCAAGUCGAGCGAAGUUUUUCUGGUGCUUGCACUAGAAAAACUUAGCGGCGAACGGGUGAGUAACACGUAAAGAACCUGCCUCAUAGACUGGGACAACUAUUGGAAACGAUAGCUAAUACCGGAUAACAGUAUUUCUCGCAUGAGAGAUAUUUAAAAGUUGGUUAUGCUAACACUAUGAGAUGGCUUUGCGGUGCAUUAGCUAGUUGGUGGGGUAAAGGCCCACCAAGGCGACGAUGCAUAGCCGACCUGAGAGGGUGAUCGGCCACACUGGGACUGAGACACGGCCCAGACUCCGACGGGAGGCAGCAGUAGGGAAUCUUCCGCAAUGGGCGAAAGCCUGACGGAGCAACGCCGCGUGAGUGAAGAAGGAUUUCGGUUCGUAAAGCUCUGUUGUUAGGGAAGAAUGGAUAUGUAGUAACUAUACAUGUAAGAGACGGUACCUAACCAGAAAGCCACGGCUAACUACGU